AGUUAUCUGUCGAAUCCAAAAUAGGACGAAAUGCACAUCUUGGAU
rnacentral:hammerhead_ribozyme from 1 species